GCAGAGAUGGUCUAGUUGGUUAUGACGACUGUUUAACACGCAGUAGGUCCCGGGUUCGAUUCCCGGUUUCUGUA
rnacentral:tRNA from 1 species